UACGUAGGGGGCAAGCGUUGUCCGGAUUUACUGGGCGUAAAGAGCGUGUAGGCGGCCAAACAGGUCCGUUGUGAAAACUGGAGGCUCAACCUCCAGACGUCGACGGAAACCGUGUGGCUAGAGUCCGGAAGAGGAGAGUGGAAUUCCUGGUGUAGCGGUGAAAUGCGCAGAUAUCAGGAAGAACACCAAUGGCGAAGGCAGGUCUCUGGGCCACUACUGACGCUGAGAAGCGAAAGCGUGGGGAGCGAACAGG
rnacentral:rRNA from 1 species